UACGGAGGGCGCAAGCGUUAUCCGGAAUUAUUGGGCGUAAAGAGCUCGUAGGCGGUUUGUCUCGUCUGCUGUGAAAGACCGGGGCUCAACUCCGGUUCUGCAGUGGGUACGGGCAGACUAGAGUGCAGUAGGGGAGACUGGAAUUCCUGGUGUAGCGGUGGAAUGCGCAGAUAUCAGGAGGAACACCGAUGGCGAAGGCAGGUCUCUGGGCAACUACUGACGCUGAGAAGCGAAAGCAUGGGGAGCGAACAGG
rnacentral:rRNA from 1 species